rnacentral:rRNA from 1 species
UACAGAGGUCUCAAGCGUUGUUCGGAUUCAUUGGGCGUAAAGGGUGCGUAGGGGGCGAGGCAAGUCAGAUGUGAAAUCCCGGGGCUCAACCCCGGAACUGCAUUUGAAACUGCCUUGCUCGAGUACUGGAGAGGAGACUGGAAUUUACGGUGUAGCAGUGAAAUGCGUAGAUAUCGUAAGGAAGACCAGUGGCGAAGGCGAGUCUCUGGACAGUUACUGACACUGAGGCACGAAGGCCAGGGGAGCAAACGGG